rnacentral:tRNA from 1 species
UCUAAUAUGGCAGAAUAGUGCAAUAGAUUUAAGACCUAUAUAUAAAGUUAAGCUUUUUUUAGAA